ensembl:lncRNA
GACAUUUUCAGAUUUGCAAAUUCAAACCUGUCGAUCCCAAACCGGGAAAAACUAGAGUCCAAGCCCUCUGUGCCUUUGCAGAACCCACACCUGCUGGAGUUUCGGAAGAGCUAUGGAAACUGGUGAACAACAUGAACCAGGAUGCUGUUGCACAUGCAGUCAGAAAUGACUGGUGCAUCAUGGAGAUGGGGAAGCACCUCUACAACAAGCAUGGAUUUGAAGUUGAUAAGCACGAAUAUAUCCGGCAAAAGUUAAGGGAGCUUGGCAGACUUUGCUUACAUGGUGGAGAGGUCACAAACAUGAAGACGAUCAAAGAAUAUGUCAUACCAGCGAACUUCAUGCAGACAGUCGAUGCAGUGAAACACACAGCACAAGGCAAUAAAGGUAAUUCCAAAUCGCUUCCUCUGAAACUUGGACACAGCCUCAAGAGGAUGUCUAUGCUCCUGGAGAGUGAUGCAAUCAUUAAAGGAGACAAGGAUGGCGCAGAAGAAGCUCGAGCCUUUCGAAGUCUGUAUGAUGCAAAAUGGCACGAGCUUGUGUCAGUCACAUCUUUGAGGAGCCUCAAUGAGUCCAAGUGGAACGCCCCCCAGCUGCUGCCUUUCACAGCAGAUGUGCAGAAGUUGCACAAUUACCUGGAUGAGAAGCAACAGCAGUACCAACAUGAUUUAGAAUCUGAGGCGUCAUCGCACAACUGGGCCAACCUGGCAAAGGUGACUCUCGCACAGGUUAUCUUAUUCAACCGGCGUAGAGAAGGUGAGGUGUCCAAAAUGUCCCUCUCUGCAUUCACAUCAAGAGACACAUCAGCACCUCACGAAGACGUCAACCUCGCUCUCUCUGAGCUCGAGAAAAAACUCUGCCAUCAUUUUACCAGAAUAGAAAUGAGAGGAAAGCGAGGUAGGAAAGUUGCUAUCCUCCUAAGCCCAGUGAUGUAUGAAGCACUCAACAUGCUACAUCAAAAGAGAAAGGAGUGUGGCGUCCUCAAAGAAAACGCAUAUGUGUUUGCCAGACCAGGAGUGAUGUCGCACUACAGAGGGUCAGAUUGCAUCCGCCAGUUUGUCCAACUCUGUGAUGUCAAGAAUCCUCUCACUCACCUCAACAAGACUGAGGAAGCACAUGGCUACCUUAUCUAAAGUACUAAACCUUCAGGAGACAGAGCUUGACCAGCUGGCGGAUUUCAUGGGCCACGAUAUUAGAGUGCAUCGGCAGUUCUAUCGGUUACCGGAGGGCACCCUUCAACUGGUCAAGAUCAGUAAAAUUCUGAUGGCCAUGGAGCAGGGCCGCCUUUCAGACUUUCAAGGCAAGAGCCUUGAGGAGAUCAACAUUGAUCCGACUGAAACAAUCCAGUUGGACAAGCAUACGGAGUCUGAAGAUGACCUUACAGAGGAGGUGUAUGAACAAGACAUGGAAGUUUCUGAUGUCAGUCUGGCACGAAGCAUGGAGCAGAAACGAAGUGGGUCUCCACAAGAAAAUGAAGGGGAGAGUAAUUCCGAUGGAGACGACAUCCCUGUCCAAAAGAAAAAGUCCAAGACCAUUCGCAAGCCACAGAAGAAGAGGCCCUGGGAAACUGAGGAGACAAAUGCCGUUGAAAAGCACAUGAGGAACUUCAUUUUGACCUGCAAUGUUCCAAGAAAGGAAGACUGUGAUAAGUGCCUUAAAUCAGAGCCAGAAGCACUAAAAAAAUAGAGACUGGAAGGCACUCAAAUUCUACAUCAAAAAUAGAAUUACUGCACUAAAAAGGAAAAUGUAAAACAUUUCAGUUUUCAUCAGGUACAAUAGAGAGAAAUGGGGGAGAGGGGGACAGGAG